GAUGAACGCUGGCGGCGUGCCUAAUACAUGCAAGUCGAGCGAACAGACGAGGAGCUUGCUCCUCUGACGUUAGCGGCGGACGGGUGAGUAACACGUGGAUAACCUACCUAUAAGACUGGGAUAACUUCGGGAAACCGGAGCUAAUACCGGAUAAUAUAUUGAACCGCAUGGUUCAAUAGUGAAAGACGGUUUUGCUGUCACUUAUAGCUGGAUCCGCGCCGCAUUAGCUAGUUGGUAAGGUAACGGCUUACCAAGGCAACGAUGCGUAGCCGACCUGAGAGGGUGGUCGGCCACACUGGAACUGAGCCACGGUCCAGACUCCUACGGGAGGCAGCAGUAGGGAAUCUUCCGCAAUGGGCGAAAGCCUGACGGAGCAACGCCGCGUGAGUGAUGAAGGUCUUCGGAUCGUAAAACUCUGUUAUUAGGGAUGAACAAAUGUGUAAGUAACUAUGCACGUCUUGACGGUACCUAAUCAGAAAGCCACGGCUAACUACGUG
rnacentral:rRNA from 1 species